rnacentral:rRNA from 1 species
AUUGAACGCUGGCGGAAUGCUUUACACAUGCAAGUCGAACGGUAGAGGGGGCAACCUCUCGAGAGUGGCGAACGGGUGAGUAAUAUAUCGGAACGUGCCCAGUCGUGGGGGAUAACGUAGCGAAAGUUACGCUAAUACCGCAUACGAUCUACGGAUGAAAGCGGGGGACCGUAAGGCCUCGCGCGAUUGGAGCGGCCGAUAUCAGAUUAGCUAGUUGGUGAGGUAAAGGCUCGCCAAGGCGACGAUCCGUAGCUGGUUUGAGAGGACGACCAGCCACACUGGGACUGAGACACGGCCCAGACUCCUACGGGAGGCAGCAGUGGGGAAUUUUGGACAAUGGGGGAAACCCUGAUCCAGCCAUUCCGCGUGUGCGAUGAAGGCCUCGGUGUAAGCACUUUGGUCAGGAAGAAAUCGCACGGAUUAAUACUACUGUGUGGAUGACGGUACCUGC